GACGAACGCUGGCGGCGUGCUUAACACAUGCAAGUCGGACGGUGAAGCGCCUUCCUUUUUGGUGGGUGUGGAUGAGUGGCGAACGGGUGAGUAACACGUGAGUAACCUGCCCCCUUCUUCUGGAUAACCGCAUGAAAGUGUGGCUAAUACGGGAUAUUCUGGGUCUGUCGCAUGAUGGGUCUGGGAAAGAUAUUGUUUCGGUGGGGGAUGGGCUCGCGGCCUAUCAGCUUGUUGGUGGGGUGAUGGCCUACCAAGGCGGUGACGGGUAGCCGGCCUGAGAGGGUGGACGGUCACACUGGGACUGAGACACGGCCCAGACUCCUACGGGAGGCAGCAGUGGGGAAUAUUGCACAAUGGGCGCAAGCCUGAUGCAGCGACGCCGCGUGAGGGAUGGAGGCCUGCGGGUUGUGAACCUCUUUCGCCAGUGAAGCAGGCCUGCCUCGUUUGUGGGUGGGUUGACGGUAGCUGGAUAAGAAGCGCCGGCUAACUACGUG
rnacentral:rRNA from 1 species